UACGUAGGGUGCAAGCGUUAAUCGGAAUUACUGGGCGUAAAGCGUGCGCAGGCGGUUUUGUAAGUCUGUCGUGAAAUCCCCGGGCUUAACCUGGGAACUGCAUUUGUGACUGGCGGGCUAGAGUAUGGCAGAGGGGGGUAGAAUUCCACGUGUAGCAGUGAAAUGCGUAGAGAUGUGGAGGAAUACCGAUGGCGAAGGCAGCCCCCUGGGCCAAUACUGACGCUCAUGCACGAAAGCGUGGGGAGCAAACAGG
rnacentral:rRNA from 1 species